rnacentral:rRNA from 1 species
CCUACGGGUGGCUGCAGUGGGGAAUAUUGGACAAUGGGCGAAAGCCUGAUCCAGCAAUGCCGCGUGAGUGAUGAAGGCCUUAGGGUUGUAAAGCUCUUUUACCAGGGAUGAUAAUGACAGUACCUGGAGAAUAAGCUCCGGCUAACUCCGUGCCAGCAGCCGCGGUAAUACGGAGGGAGCUAGCGUUGUUCGGAAUUACUGGGCGUAAAGCGUGCGUAGGCGGUGAUUCAAGUCAGAGGUGAAAGCCUGGAGCUCAACUCCAGAACUGCCUUUGAAACUAGAUCGCUAGAAUUAUGGAGAGGUAAGUGGAAUUCCGAGUGUAGAGGUGAAAUUCGUAGAUAUUCGGAAGAACACCAGUGGCGAAGGCGACUUACUGGACAUAUAUUGACGCUGAGGUACGAAAGCGUGGGGAGCAAACAGGAUUAGAUACCCAUGUAGUC